rnacentral:rRNA from 1 species
UACGGAGGAUGCAAGCGUUAUCCGGAAUUAUUGGGCGUAAAGCGUCCGCAGGUGGACAUACAAGUCUGCUGUCAAAGUGCAGAGCUUAACUCUGUAAAGGCGGUGGAAACUGUAGGUCUUGAGUAUGGUAGGGGUAGAGGGAAUUCCCGGUGUAGCGGUGAAAUGCGUAGAUAUCGGGAAGAACACCAGUGGCGAAAGCGCUCUACUGGGCCAUAACUGACACUGAGGGACGAAAGCUAGGGGAGCGAAUGGG